GAUGAACGCUGACAGAAUGCUUAACACAUGCAAGUCAACUGUGGCGGACGGGUGAGUAACGCGGAAAGAACUUGCCUCACAGCUAGGGACAACAUUUGGAAACGAAUGCUCAUACCUGCUACUGUGAGAGGGCUUUGCUUCCCAUUAGCUAGUUGGAGAGGUAACGGCUCACAAAGGCGAUGAUGGGUAGCCGGCCUGAGAGGGUGAUCGGCCACAAGGGGACUGAGACACGGCCCUUACUCCUACGGGAGGCAGCAGUGGGGAAUAGUGGACAAUGGACCAACGUCUGAUCCAGCAAUUCUGUGUGCACGAUGAAGUUUUCGGAAUGUAAAGUGCUUUCAGUUGGGAAGCGGUACCAACAGAAGAAGUGACGGCUAAAUACGUGCCAGCCGCCGCGGUAAUAC
rnacentral:rRNA from 1 species